rnacentral:rRNA from 1 species
UACGGAGGGGGCAAGCGUUGUUCGGAAUUACUGGGCGUAAAGGGCGCGCAGGCGGCUGCUCAAGUCAGGCGUGAAAGCCCCGGGCUUAACCUGGGAGGUGCGUCUGGGACUGGGUGGCUAGAGUUCGGGAGAGGAGAGUGGAAUUCCCAGUGUAGAGGUGAAAUUCGUAGAUAUUGGGAAGAACACCGGUGGCGAAGGCGGCUCUCUGGACCGAGACUGACGCUGAGGCGCGAAAGCGUGGGGAGCAAACAGG